rnacentral:rRNA from 1 species
GGAAGGAUCAUUAUCGAAAUAAAUCUGAACAGGCUGUUGCUGGUCGGAAGACAUGUGCACGCUUGUCCUCUUUAUUUUUCCAACUGUGCACAUAUUGUAGACCUUUUUGAGGGAAUGAUGGCCAAGGUCUAUGUUACAUUUAACAACUUGUUGUAGAAUGGGGGAUAUGAAACAAAUAUACAACUUUCAGCAACGGAUCUCUUGGCUCUCGCAUCGAUGAAGAACGCAGCGAAAUGCGAUAAGUAAUGUGAAUUGCAGAAUUCAGUGAAUCAUCGAAUCUUUGAACGCAUCUUGCGCUCCUUGGUAUUCCGAGGAGCAUGCCUGUUUGAGUGUCAUCAAGUUCUCAACCAUACCUCGGUGUGGCUUGGAUCUGGGGGUUUUUGCAGGCUUCAAAGAAAGUCGGCUCCCCUGAAAAGCAUUAGCGGUGUCCGAGUACCUUUGGUGUGAUAACUAUCUAUGCCUUGGUGUAUACGAUGCAUGCUGCUUCUGAACUUCAUCUUU